UCUCUUCUACUCCAUUUCAGUUUCUGUUGCUAAGGAGACAAAACUGAAAAAUAUCUCCUGACUGGGUACGAGACAAAAAAGAAAAUGUCUCGUGUCUGGUUAUGAGACAAAACGCAGAAAAAUCUCCUGAAGCUAAUUUAAAAGGCAGCAAGUAUUACUCAGCAAAAAUGGGCUAAGAUUCAACCCCCCUCUCUUAGCCACUGAUAGACCAUCAUCUUAUAUCCGCAAUCUAUUUUGAAUUUGUUAAGUUUUAUGUGUUUUUAUGUGUUUACUAAUCUUAAGUUUUUAAUUGAUAGAUUUGCACCAAACAAUAAUGCAUGUACACAGGAGAUCUCCAAUGUGAUUAAGUCCAUAUACGACCACCCAUGGCCGAGCUACACAAAACAACAAUGCAUGUACACUGGUGACCUCGCGAUUUAGCUCCGCUCAGAUAUUACGAAGGAACUGGAUGUCUAUUUUAGUACUAAUGAGGGGUUCAAAUGUCGUCGUCUGAUAAACAGAACUAACAGGGCUUCGCCGAGGUCGUCGAAGUAUAUUGGUGGGUCGGCGACUUUCAUGAAGACGAAGAGCAGGCUUUUAUCCUAAGUCGUUGGAGCGUGAGGCGAUAUUGACGGAGACCUUCAAAUAUACCCAUAUGUUGAAGGCCAACAAAGAGAGAUUUGUUUAUGAGUAGUCUGUGGCUCAUUAUGAGGACUAUACGUAGAGAUUGGAGGUUGCGACCCAGCAAUCUCAACCUAGUAGGGAAGGCCCCGGCUCCGAUGCCUCAGUCGUUGAUGUUGUUAGGGUUUGGCGCGAGACCGCCUCUGAGCCCUACAAGAAUCGCGUCUACGGGUUAGGGUCGUUCUUCGUCAGCGGCCUCCACACCUCUGCAUUGGCGGCUUCAUCUGUCUUUGCCUCUGCCACCAACCUUGUCGAUCCCAAGAAGGAUGUCAAUUUAAGGGAGGAGAUGUAGAAGCUAACACAGGAGCUUCACCAACAUGCUCAGCAGUUUGAGCGGAGGUAUGAUGAGCUUCUUCCACGCGUGGGAGACAUUGUUGCCAUCAGGUCGGAGCUGACGAAGAAGCUAGAGCGGCUAGAGCAUUUGUAAGACCAGAUGGCGGGGUACAAUGACCAGAUGUGCGCUAGAGGGAAUGGCGCUGCUGGUACCAGCGACGACGCUACUUGUAGGGAACCGACAUCAGCACCUAGUCCAUCGCCUCAGUAGGGGGAAGGCAAUGAUGACGACGAUUACCGGAAUCCAUAGGGUUUAGGGAUUUAAUUUAUUUUGUCUAUUUCAUUGUAUUUUACUUCUUUGACUUUUUAUUAUAUGCAAA